rnacentral:antisense_RNA from 1 species
AGGUGUGCUAGGGAAUAAAUGAAAUGCCUGGGACAUCAUCGUUAAGUGGCAUCUGAUGCAUAAGCAGUGCCCUAGGAACGGGGUUGCCUGCCUUGGUCUCUAAAGGAUGGGUUCAAAAGGCAAGAGCAGCACACAAGAAGAUAGCUUCAAGCAGGAGAAAAAGCUUGGCCCAGGGCCCAAAGGGGAUACGACCCUUCAGCAAACUGACAUGCUGAAAGCUGCCCUAUGGAGAGGCUCAUGUGGCAAGGAACAUGGGGGUGGCUUCUGGCCAACACCCAGUGAGGAACUCAGGCCCUCAGUCAAACAGCCUGCAAGGAACUGAACCCUGCCAAUAACCCAGCUGGGUUGAAAGCUUCCCUUUGGAGAAGAACUGAGGGCUGUCUCUGGUCAAUAGCACUGAGGAACUGAAUCCAGCAAACAAUUAUGUGAAGAAACUUGGAAGCUUGUCCUCCCCUCUAGUUGAGCUUUGAGAUGACUGCCACCCUAGCGGACACCUUGAUU